CUUGCAUGCCCUUGGAUGCUGCACAUCGAUGGAUUGUCCAACGCUAGAGGCACUAGGGCUGGGUUGACCCUCACUGGUCCUGACAGCAUCGUGCAUGGUAGAGCACGCCAUCUGUUUCAGCUUCAAAAUUUUAAAUAAUAAAGUGGAGUAUGAAGCACUCUUGGCUGGGCUGAUGCUCACCUGAAAACUUGGAGUCCACACCUUUAGGUCCUUAGUGACUCCCAACUGGUGGUUAGUGAGAUUCGAGCAGAGUAUGUGGCGUAGGCAUCUUCCAUGGGGAAAUAUCUAUAGAAGGUACAAGAAAUAAUUCUUUUUUAAUAAAUUCUAAAUUUUGUAGAUAUCCA
rnacentral:lncRNA from 1 species